AUGUUCUCUGUUGCCCUUCUGUGGACAAUGAGUGGCUCUUGCUGCGCACAGGGAUGCCGUGUUUUUCCUGAGGAGCCCCCGAAGAGGACCCAGAAGCAGCUGCACCAGGACCUCUGGAAGGAGCUGACGGAAGAGCUAGAGAGCAGCUCCGACAGUGAUGGGGGCAGCUCCACCGAGGGAGAGGAUGAGGACGAGGAAGGCCAGGCCUGGGGGGACGCCCCCACUCCCCUCACUGAGUUCCGAGCCCUCAAGCAAGAAGCCGUGGCAAAGAUGCAGCCCGAGGGGAAAGAUUCGCCCAGUGAAAAGCCUCCGGAGUCCCCCCUCCUCUCGGUGGUGUCCCACCUCCUCUCCUUCCUGGAGCAUUACAGCCAGAUGCAGCAGCUGCAGGAGACGGCCGGCGCCUACCGCUCCCGCCUGGAGAAGGAGGAGAGCCGCCGGCGGAAGCAGCUGCGGGGACUCAAGAGGGCCUGCCGGCAGCGGUUGAGGGACCAGGUCCUCCUCAUCGGGAGCCUGGACGGCAUCAUCUUGGAGCAGCAGGCACUCCUGGAGAAGAUGCAGGCAGGUGAGCCUGCUGGCUGGGGAGGCAUGGGGAGGGGGACAUCUGUGUUCCUGCUCAGCCCCAGCCCUCCUCCCUUCCCUCCUGGAAGUUUUUUCAAGUGGGGCAUGGAUCCAUGCCACCGACAGGGACAGAACGUGGCCGCGGCAGCCCAAAAUCUUUGGGAGGGCGGACGGCAGGCAGGCAGGACGGGCCAUGGCCGUUUUGCAGCUGGGGAGCUGCCCGAGCAUAUCCACACCGCUGCCCAAAGAGAUCACGUGCAACUGGAAGAUGGGGCAGGGCAAGGACGCUGGAGGAGCUCCUCCGUGGCUGGAGAGGCAAGCUGCCCGCUCAAGACAGAAUUCCUGGUCCAAGGAAGAGGGG
rnacentral:lncRNA from 1 species